GUCAUGAAUCCUACAUGUUGUGUAUGUAUUUUUUUUUUUUGCAUAUUAACGGAGGGGAUGAUGUGGGUGCACUCUCUAUGUUUGGGUAAAUGCCCCAGUGAAGUUGAUGCCCCUUGCAGGUCGAGCAUCGCCGUUUGUUUCUCUAUAGUCUGUGCUGGUCAGCUGACAGCAAGAAAAGGGUUCAAUUGGAACUAGAGAUGUUGCAUUAUGCAUGUCUAAGCUUCUCUGUUCAUCCUACCGGUCUUUUCUCAUACGCUCAUGAAUACAAUUCUGACAUUGUCUUGGACGAAAAUCUCCUGAAGCUAUUUUUCUGUUUCAAAUAUCUGAUUAGCGACACGUGCUUAUUGGAUCUCACAGUGGAGAAAUAACAUUUGUUUGCAGGUUAUUGAUCCUGCACUGCCUCUACGAUUUAUGAUCUAAGAGCACUAUGUGACAGAGCCUUGAUUUGACGUAGGUAGGAGAGCAGCCAACAACCAGAGGCGUCCGAUGGAGACUAAGUUCUUGAUAGAAUUGGGAGGUUUGAGAUGUAUGCUUGGAGAAGAGGAGAAAAGAGGAUGCUUGAAUCUGGAGAUGGUAAGAGUAUUCUGUUAGUUUCUGCCCUUCUCAGGUUGUAAUGGUGGCUGGUGGGUGGGCGAGACUUGGCAUCGGCGCGGCACAAAAGCUGUCCUGGUGGCCGGCGAUCAUGAGGGCGAGCGAACUAGCGAGCGAGCGAGGGAGAAUACUGAGUUAGGACGCCCUGAGAUCAAAACUGAUCCCCAAGCAUAACUUACAUUAACAUGGAGUAUGUAGUCAUAUAGACUAGGUACAUAACGCAUAGACUGAAUUACAAAUUUGAAAACGCUAGGAACUGCUUCCAGACGUGGGCGUGUGUGCGUUUUUGCCGUUCAACCGCGCUGCCUCCUCUUGUACACAUUCCCAGUCAUAACAUAUUGAAUACAUGGUGCAAGUAAGGGUUCAGUUUCAUACUUAUGAGGGUAUUGUUAAGCUAAUACACCCUAUGAGCGGACAAAGAGGCAUCAUGGACUAAGAACCAUUCUGAGGUAUAUUCUACUCUAUUUAAUUUUUUAUUUCCAAAAAAUUAAGUGAUUUAGACCUCAUGGUUGUAGCUUAACAUUUAUAUCCUUGAACUCUGAGUAAAAUUUGGUAUCCAUUUGGUGUUAACUAACGCGUGAUAUAUAUUCUUGAUUUGUCCAGUUAGCUGUAUUCUUGAUGAAACUCUCUGCCUCCCUGCAAUCCUUCUAAUUCCCGAUGGUUACACAGCAAGACAGAGUAGAUAGUAAUUCGGCUCCAUCUAUAUGCAUUUUACAUAGUAUGAAAAAAAAAAUCUUUUGGUAGGUGCAUUAGGAUCUAAGCUGUUUACAACAGCGGCUCCUUUUUGAUACAAAACUAAUUCUUCACAUAGGUGCAUCUUAAUUUCAGUAGCAUUUGUGACUGGUGACUGAGCUUAUUUUCUGAUAGGAUAUCACAUUAUCUGUCCUUUCUCUACAAUUAAUCUUUGUCAUGAAUGCAGGAAAUGAUUCUGCUCUUUGUUGGAUUCGAAACUGAGUGCAGAUGAGUGAUAAUAAUCUUUGCCUCAUGAGACUCAUGGUUUUGGUUCAGAAUAACAAGCAUGGAGCAUGGCAGAUACACAUCCACAACCAAACAGCUGAGUAUGCCUCUUCAAUUAAUCUGCAGAUCCCUCAGGUCGCAUAAUGACCUGUGUAAAUUUAGAGGAGAAUUUGCUUCCCUUUCAUUUUUUCGAUCACCUUCGCAGCAUCUUCCUGCUUGGAGCUCAUUUCUCUGUUAAGGGUCCAAUCAGCAUGACCAGACCAUGCAGCAUCUCAGCUACGAAUAAGAUUGAAAGAAUCAUCAGGGAACCAACACUCAGUAGAUAUGGUUCUGAUGAUGGACUUCUAGAACAUCGUGAAGCACUUCUCGAAAAGGGUCAGGGAUCGGUUGCAGAUGAGGAAGCUAAUUGUCGAAGCGUGGUGGGGUGUGGAAAAUGGAAGGAAAAAAAUGCACUGGCGCUCAUGGGAGUGGCUUUCUUCUCCAAAAUUUCUUGGUGUUCUUGGUUUUAGAGAUCUCCACUUCUUUAACCAAGCAAUGCUAGGCUCAGGGAUGGAGACUUAUCACUGAACCAGAAUCUUUUGUGCAAGGGUACUGAAGAGCCGCUACUUUCCUUUCACUGAUUUUUUGCCUGCCAGCUCAUCUCGAUCAGCCUCUUACACCUGACGCAGUCUAUUUUGGGCUAUUGGUAAUGGCAAAAAUAUUCGAUCAGUCUCUUACACCUGGCGCAGUCUAUUUUGGGCUAUUGGUAAUGGCAAAAAUAUUCAAACAGUGGAUGCCCUUGUAAACCCAGUGACUAGGCAGUGGGACCAUGCCAUGGUCAAUACUUUCUUCCAGCCCAACUGCUGUUAAUAUAAUUUGAUGGUUAAUGAAUUUCUUGUGAGAAUAUCUUUGUAUGAGAACCUGGAUUAGAUUAGAUUUAGAAUGGAGUGGAUUGCUACAUUCCUAAUAAAAAAAUAAUUUAGUUGUUUUAGCGGAAUUUAGUUGUUUUAGCAGCCGUUCAAUGUAAUCCAACUUUGUUUUAUUAUAUCAAUUUUGAGUCUCAUGUUAUUUUAAAUAUA